rnacentral:rRNA from 1 species
UACCCGUCCCCGCCUUUGUACACACCGCCCGUCGCUACUACCGAUUGAAUGGCUCAGUGAGGCCUUGGGAUUGGCUUAGGAGGGUUGGCAACGACCCCCCAGAGCCGAAAACUUGGUCAAACUCGGUCAUUUAGAGGAAGUAAAAGUCGUAACAAGGUUUCCGUAGGUGAACCUGCGGAAGGAUCAUUACCGAGUGAGGGCCCUCUGGGUCCAACCUCCCACCCGUGUUUAUUUUACCUUGUUGCUUCGGCGGGCCCGCCUUAACUGGCCGCCGGGGGGCUUACGCCCCCGGGCCCGCGCCCGCCGAAGACACCCUCGAACUCUGUCUGAAGAUUGUAGUCUGAGUGAAAAUAUAAAUUAUUUAAAACUUUCAACAACGGAUCUCUUGGUUCCGGCAUCGAUGAAGAACGCAGCGAAAUGCGAUACGUAAUGUGAAUUGCAAAUUCAGUGAAUCAUCGAGUCUUUGAACGCACAUUGCGCCCCCUGGUAUUCCGGGGGGCAUGCCUGUCCGAGCGUCAUUUCUGCCCUCAAGCACGGCUUGUGUGUUGGGCCCCGUCCUCCGAUCCCGGGGGACGGGCCCGAAAGGCAGCGGCGGCACCGCGUCCGGUCCUCGAGCGUAUGGGGCUUUGUCACCCGCUCUGUAGGCCCGGCCGGCGCUUGCCGAUCAACCCAAAUUUUUAUCCAGGUUGACCUCGGAUCAGGUAGGGAUACCCGCUGAACUUAAGCAUAUCAAUAAGCGGAGGAAAAGAAACCAACAGGGAUUGCCCCAGUAACGGCGAGUGAAGCGGCAAGAGCUCAAAUUUGAAAGCUGGCUCCUUCGGGGUCCGCAUUGUAAUUU